rnacentral:rRNA from 1 species
GGGUUGUGAGGUUAAGCGACUAAGCGUACACGGUGGAUGCCCUGGCAGUCAGAGGCGAUGAAGGGCGUACUAAUCUGCGAUAAGCGCCGGUAAGGUGAUAUGAACCGUUAUAACCGGCGAUACCCGAAUGGGGAAACCCAGUGUGAUUCGUCACACUAUCAUUAACUGAAUCCAUAGGUUAAUGAGGCGAACCGGGGGAACUGAAACAUCUAAGUACCCCGAGGAAAAGAAAUCAACCGAGAUUCCCCCAGUAGCGGCGAGCGAACGGGGAGGAGCCCAGAGCCUGAAUCAGCAUGUGUGUUAGUGGAAGCGUCUGGAAAGGCGCGCGAUACAGGGUGACAGCCCCGUACACAAAAGCGCAUGUGCUGUGAGCUCGAUGAGUAGGGCGGGACACGUGGUAUCCUGUCUGAAUAUGGGGGGACCAUCCUCCAAGGCUAAAUACUCCUGACUGACCGAUAGUGAACCAGUACCGUGAGGGAAAGGCGAAAAGAACCCCGGCGAGGGGAGUGAAAAAGAACCUGAAACCGUGUACGUACAAGCAGUGGGAGCACAGGUUUACCUGUGUGACUGCGUACCUUUUGUAUAAUGGGUCAGCGACUUAUAUUCUGUAGCAAGGUUAACCGAAUAGGGGAGCCGGAGGGAAACCGAGUCUUA